AGUCGAGGGGCAGCAUCAUCAAAGCUUGCUUUGAUGGAUGGCGACCGGCGCACGGGUGAGUAACACGUAUCCAACCUGCCGACAACACUGGGAUAGCCUUUCGAAAGAAAGAUUAAUACCGGAUGGCAUAGUUUUCCCGCAUGGGAUAAUUAUUAAAGAAUUUCGGUUGUCGAUGGGGAUGCGUUCCAUUAGGCAGUUGGCGGGGUAACGGCCCACCAAACCUACGAUGGAUAGGGGUUCUGAGAGGAAGGUCCCCCACAUUGGAACUGAGACACGGUCCAAACUCCUACGGGAGGCAGCAGUGAGGAAUAUUGGUCAAUGGACGAGAGUCUGAACCAGCCAAGUAGCGUGAAGGAUGACUGCCCUAUGGGUUGUAAACUUCUUUUAUACGGGAAUAAAGUGAGCCACGUGUGGCUUUUUGUAUGUACCGUAUGAAUAAGGAUCGGCUAACUCCGUGCCAGCAGCCGCGGUAAUACGGAGGAUUCGAGCGUUAUCCGGAUUUAUUGGGUUUAAAGGGAGCGUAGGCGGGUUGUUAAGUCAGUUGUGAAAGUUUGCGGCUCAACCGUAAAAUUGCAGUUGAUACUGGCGACCUUGAGUGCAACAGAGGUAGGCGGAAUUCGUGGUGUAGCGG
rnacentral:rRNA from 1 species